AGUGAAUUAAGCACAUAAACAGUGGCAGUUUUUUUGUGGAGCGCUGAUUGGUGCUAUUUUCAUGGCCUAUAUGUGAAAUAUAGAUUCGAGAUGAAAUGUGGAAAACUCUCAUCUCUGUAGCCGAUACCACACUGGAAACACUGUUAUGCUUAUUCGGAUGUUACUGAUGUUGCUCUCUAGUCCAGUAUUAUUCUCUGUGUCCACAGCUUUAAGAUUGGAUCUCUUGUAAAGUGUGUUGAGUGGCAAGACUCAUGCUCCUCACCUCUGCCCUACUCAGGAGGCUCUCAACACACAAGAGGUGAACUUUAAGUCCGAAGCAUAUUUAAUGCAGAUUUUCCAUAGGAAGGAUCAUUUGCAUUAUGUGAAAUUGUCUUUCACUUUACUUGAACCAAACCAAGACAAAUGUAAAGAGUAACUAAUCACAAGGAUUUUGGAUGGCACGGAAUCAUGUAUAGACAAGAAGUGACCCAGGAGAGGAGAUAUUGGUGGACUCUAUUGGCCAGUUAGUUGAAGGACAUGGCCUCACAGUGGAUCCCUCAUGUGUGCCCUUCUUUUCUCAUUCCUGGCCCCUGUGGCUAUGCAGACCUGAAUGC
ensembl:lncRNA